GGGGGUGUAGCUCAGCGGGAGAGCACCUCGUUCGCAACGAGGGGGUCGAGGGUUCAAUCCCCUUCACCUCCA
rnacentral:tRNA from 1 species